GUUAGUCCUGAGCAGGGCCACUUAAUAGGCAGCUCACAGUGAGAAGUCUGAUUGCAAAGUUCCCUCAGGAAGCAGGUUUCGGAUGGAGGGCGGCACUUGGUGCUGCACAACUCACAACAAAGAGCAUGUGAGCUGGAGCGUGCAGGGGCGAAAGUAACCCCGGAAAAGGCUUAGGAGAAAAAGUACGUGACAGAAAAUAUACAAAUGAAGUACACUAUCAAGAAAGGAUCAGUUUUCCUCAGCCUGUCAACAAAAUAGAUUAGUGUGCUGCUCAGAACGACUGAAUGAGAAGCAAAGACAGAGAGCAGACGCAGCAAGAUAUUCCACAGCUCAAUAUUGGAAUCAGGAACUGAGUUGAGACGAAAGACCUGAUAUCGUCAGGUUCCCCUCCCGGUGACUCUUAAGACAGCACAGAAGCCUGUUAUUGGUGCUGAGAGUCUGAGAGCAGCGAAGGAAGCUGGGGAGCUGUGCCCCAAGCCUGGGAGCAGGAGAGCUCAGACUGUCCUGAACAACAUGACCAGACACCCCUGGGAGUGAGUGACCAGGACUGGAAUUAAGAUUCCCUACAGUGUGGAAACAGGCCCUUCGGCCCAACCAGUCCACACCGACCCUCCGAGGAGUCACCCACCAAGACCCAUUCCCCUUAAGCACCGAAUGGCCACAUCAGCGGACCUGCACAUCUUUGGACUGUGGGAGGAAACCGGAGCGAAUCCACGCAGAUACGGGGAGAAUGUGCAAACUCCACACAGUCACCUGAGGUUGGAAUCAAACUCAGGCCCCUGGUGGUGUGAGGCAGCAGUGCUAAUCACUGAGCCAUCCUGCUAUUUCUGUCUGGUAUCUACAAGUGCAGAGGCUGGACUCCAUCUAACCAGUCAAUACCAAUACACUGUAUGCACGUUUCUGAACAACUAGAGGCAACUUCCACAUUAUUUCGAUUUCAUUCGGAGCAAAACCACAGGCGUGCACAUAUCAACGGGUCAAACACCAAGAAACCAUGCUGCAGUCAUUGAAAUAGUGAUCCAUUGGAAGGUGAGGACAUGCAGGGAGGGGCACCUAUCAGACAGACGGAAGGAUGAAUAAUUUACUCUAAACCA